rnacentral:snRNA from 1 species
GUACUUGUUGCGGCGGUACAUGCACCGAAACUUGAACGAUGCAGGGUAGAUUAACAUGAAAUUUGCAAAACGAUGGCAUGCGAAAGCGCGAAGCGUUCCAUAUUUUU